UGAAAAUUUUUUUUUCUUUUAAAAUAUUUUUUCAUAAAUUUCAACAUAUAAAGUUUUUAUCUUAAUCAUAUAAAAUAUCUAUGCGUUAUUAAUUAACUUUUGUUAUCAACAAAAUUAAAUUUUGAUUUAAUUUAGAUUUUUUUGUCACAGUUUAUGUUAUUAGUCUCAUAAUAAUAGUUGAAAUUUUAGAUUUAAAUGAAAAUAUACAUAUAAUUUUAAUUAGUCAUUUUCUCAGGAAUCUUACCAGUUAUUUAGAAAUGAUGUAAUUUUAAAAUUAAAAUCUUCAUAUAGUUCAACAAAUAACAAAAUUUUCAUCCUUAUCAUAAAAUAUACUUUUUGUUAUUACUCAAUAGAUCAAUUAAUAAUUAUUGAUUAAGCAAUAUGUUUUAUCAACAAAUCUGGCUUAUAAAUUAUUUUAUGUUUUGAAAAUAAUUUGGUUAUAUUUUAUGGUAAUAGAUCUUAGCAUAUAAUAAAUAUUUAUUGAUUUAGCUUAUACUUCAAAAAGAGAAAAAGAUUAUUUGUGUGCACAAUUUGUUUUAUAUUCCUAUCACUCACACACACACACAC
rnacentral:lncRNA from 1 species